UACGGAGGAUGCGAGCGUUAUCCGGAUUUAUUGGGUUUAAAGGGUGCGUAGGCGGGCUUUUAAGUCAGCGGUAAAAAUUCGGGGCUCAACCCCGCCCGGCCGUUGAAACUGGGGGCCUUGAGUGGGCGAGAAGAAGGCGGAAUGCGUGGUGUAGCGGUGAAAUGCAUAGAUAUCACGCAGAACCCCGAUUGCGAAGGCAGCCUUCCGGCGCCCUACUGACGCUGAGGCACGAAAGUGCGGGGAUCGAACAGG
rnacentral:rRNA from 1 species